GACGAACGCUGGCGGCGUGCUUAACACAUGCAAGUCGAGCGGUAAGGCCCUUUCGGGGGUACGACGAGCGGCGAACGGGUAGAGUAACACGUGGGUGACCUCGCCCUCAGCUCUGGGAUAAGCCCGGGAAACUGGGUCUAAUACUGGAUAUGACUCCAUGACGCAUGUUGUGGGGUGGAAAGCCUUGUGCGGCUGAGGAUGGGCCCGCGGCCUAUCAGCUUGUU
rnacentral:rRNA from 1 species